CCAUAUCCCACGAUUUUUUUUCAUUUAGAUAUUUGUUAUAAAUCAAUUAAAUAAUAGAAAUGGGUAUUAAAAUAAUUUGAGCUUACAUUUAUGUAAUAUACUAGUUCAUUUAGGACUUUUAUGAAAUUUAUUAGUAAUUUGGAUCCUUCAUGUAAUAUCAUAUAGCAAUUUAGGUUAUAUGAGUUAAAGACCCUUUUCAUAAUCCUUUCAAAUCCUUUUCACUGUGCACCCUUGAAACCGUGUAAUCUUUCAUCCUUCCCUUCUCCGUCCAACCUCGUCUUCUUCCUUCCUCACCGUUUAUGUCUUCAUUUUCUCCUCCAAAUCUUCUGUUUUCUCCUCCAAAUCUUCUAUUUUCUCCUCCAAAUCUUCCCAUUUUACUCACCUCAUUUUCUCUUUGUAGCUGCGAAGAUAGACAGAGAGACGAAGUUAAAGAUACAAUUCCACUCACUGUCUAUCUGUCGAAAUUAAUCUUCGAAACCUAACAUCCUCCAUUUUUAAUCCUUUUUUUUUUUUUUGCGUUCAUCAUUUCUCCUUCUUUCUCUCUUUAAAUCUCUUUUUUUUCUUCUCUCAUCCCUCUCUGUUUUACUCAAUAACUUGGUUGCAUCUAUGGAGUUUUGCAGGCAGAACGGUGAUAAGGUGGUGGCAAUGGUCUUCGUGGAAGCAAAUUUGCUAACCUUUGAGGUUAAAUGGGAUUUUCUUGGCAAAUUUAUUUGUGAAUUAGAACCUACUUUUUCUAGAAAACAAAGAGUGAGAGAGAUGGUAGAUGCUGUGUGUUUGGAGCUCUGUUUUGGGAUGAGAUUUUGUUUAUAUUAUGAAAAUCUGAAAAAUACUGAUCUGUUGAGUGUUUUUUGGUAUUUUUAGUACGAUAGAGGAAUGUAUAACUAAUUUUUUUUAUGGAUACAUGGCAGAAAACCUUUGUUAUAACUUAUCAUUAAUAAUUAUGUUUGUUAUUGAUCUUUAAUUUGAAAGAAUGAUGAGAAAUAGAAAAAUUCAAU
rnacentral:lncRNA from 1 species